AGUUUGAUCCUGGCUCAGAUUGAACGCUGGCGGCAUGCCUUACACAUGCAAGUCGAACGGUAACAGGUCUUCGGAUGCUGACGAGUGGCGAACGGGUGAGUAAUACAUCGGAACGUGCCCGAUCGUGGGGGAUAACGGAGCGAAAGCUUUGCUAAUACCGCAUACGAUCUACGGAUGAAAGCAGGGGACCGCAAGGCCUUGCGCGGACGGAGCGGCCGAUGGCGGAUUAGGUAGUUGGUGGGAUAAAAGCUUACCAAGCCGACGAUCUGUAGCUGGUCUGAGAGGACGACCAGCCACACUGGGACUGAGACACGGCCCAGACUCCUACGGGAGGCAGCAGUGGGGAAUUUUGGACAAUGGGCGAAAGCCUGAUCCAGCCAUGCCGCGUGCAGGAUGAAGGCCUUCGGGUUGUAAAGCUCUUUUACCCGGGAUGAUAAUGACGGUACCGGGAGAAUAAGCCCCGGCUAACUCCGUGCCAGCAGCCGCGGUAA
rnacentral:rRNA from 1 species